rnacentral:ribozyme from 1 species
UCUUGACCGUAGCUGCUACCUUGACGUGGUGGUCGGGCUUACCUAUCGUGAUGACCCAACCGAGCUAUAUUGGCCGGAACAUAUGUUCCUGUAGGUUCUACCAUGCCAGGUAGGUCGAUUGGAGAACGGUAAGACUAAAAGCAAC